GACCCAAUGGUGUAGCUGGUAUCACGUUGCUGUGUCUGUCCCCUGGAAGCGGUUAUGCAGGAGUCCCUUGUUCGAAUCGGGGUCGGGUCU